rnacentral:tRNA from 1 species
AAGGAUUAGUUGCAAAAGGUUAGCGCGUCCCGAUUUUGGAUCGGGAAGGUCCCCGGUUCGAAUCCGGGCACCC